AUUGAACGCUGGCGGCAGGCUUAACACAUGCAAGUCGAACGAGCGGCGGACGGGUGAGUAAUGUCUGGGAAACUGCCUGAUGGAGGGGGAUAACUACUGGAAACGGUAGCUAAUACCGCAUACCAUCAGAUGUGCCCAGAUGGGAUUAGCUAGUUGGUGGGGUAAUGGCUCACCAAGGCGACGAUCCCUAGCUGGUCUGAGAGGAUGACCAGCCAAACUGGAACUGAGACACGGUCCAGACUCCUACGGUAGGCAGCAGUGGGGAAUAGUGCACAAUGGGCGCAAGCCUGAUGCAGCCAUGCCGCGUGUGUGAAGAAGGCCUUCGGGUUGUAAAGUACUUUCAGCGAGGAGGCGUUACCCGCAGAAGAAGCACCGGCUAACUCCGUGCCAGCCGCCGCGGUAAUAC
rnacentral:rRNA from 1 species